UUGCUUUGGCAGCAUGUAUACUAAAAUUGAAAUGAUACAGAGAAGAUUUGCAUGGCCCCUGCACAAGAAUGACAUGCAAAUUUGUGAAGCAUUCCAUAUUUUU